rnacentral:lncRNA from 1 species
UGAGCCUGGCAGAGGAAGGAAGAGAUGAGGUUGGUGAGGGACUGGGGACUGGGUUAGGUGGAGCCUCAUAGGCUACGGUAAGAAGUUCAGAUUUUACUCUGAGUAUGAUGGGAAGUGAUUGGAGGGUGGAUAAGCCAGUCUGAGUGGCAUGAUCUGAUGUCAGGUUAACAGGACUCGUUUGUCCAGUAUGUGGCCAAAUAGACACUAAGGGGGAGCAGUGACAGCAGUGAGACCUGUGAGGUGCUUAUUGCUGUAAUCCAGGCAAGAGAUGGUGGAGCAUUAAUUGAAUGAGGAUUGCAAUGAAGACCUGGCUAGUAUAUUCAAAAGCUAUGUAUAAAUUACAGAAAAGUGACCCUUCUCAAGAGAUGCAGUCUUGCAGGUUCACAGUUUAGCAAGUGAAGUAUGGACUAGAUUUCAGCAUCUUCUCAGUUCUCAGCUGGGCAUGCUUGCACAGUGCACAACAUCCCCAACUGUGUAUGGUGGCCCUGGUAAGGAUGACAUGAAGUGGAUGGAUGAGCGAGAAACAAAGGGGGACAGAUUAUUAGGACUGGGUCAGCUAAGAGCAGUAAUGGGUGACACUAAGGAUGCCAUCUCUCCCUCCCCCUGAUUUCUGGCUUGCCAAAGGACCAGGAAUAGUCAACAAUCCUAGGGUUUAUCUCUGAGGUCUGACCCGAGAGGCCAGGCUCUGCUCACAGACUCAUUCAUUCAUUCAUUCAUUCAUUCAUUCCAUAAAUAUGUCUAGAGCACUGACUAUGUGCCUGUGCAUUGGAUUUACCUGCCACUGCCUGCACCCCUGGCAUUGGAACACUGCUUCUCCUUGGGCACAGCCCUUUGGGGGCCACAGCCCAAGACAGGAGGAAAAUUGCAUUGAAGGCCAACAGGAGCCAGCCUCCGAGGAGCAUCACAGCUGAGACCUGCAGGGAAGAGACAGGAGGAAAAUUGCAUUGAAGGCCAACAGGAGCCAGCCUCCGAGGAGCAUCACAGCUGAGACCUGCAAGGAAGAGACAGAAGGAAGGGUGUUGGCUGGGACAGGGGCAGGUGGAUGCUCCCCUGCUCAUUGACCAGCUUCUGAGUCCUCGCAGCAUGUGGUUUGUGCUAUUAUGAUCUCCAUUUUACAUAAAAAGAAACUGUCCA